AACAGGCCUUUUUCACUCGGUCUGCGUUUAACCGUUUUGUACAUUGGGAACAGAGCUGGGUCAUAUUCCAAGCUCGGUUAGAGCUCUACUCAAGCCAGUCAUGUCACUUGAAUGUGACGUAGAGAGCAAAUUAAAAUCCCACUCUGGAAAACUGCUCAGCUUCAACCUGUAGUUCUCGGGGGCUUGCUGCUUGUCAAAUGCCAUGUGCAAGGUAAAUGUGACUGAAACUCAGGGACGUGUUCCUGCUGUGAGUGCGCAGAGAGCGCCCGCGCUCCCAGGGGAGGCAGCGAGGAGCUGCAGGAGCUGAUCCUACCCCCAUCUCCUUCCUUGUGCCAGCUGGGGAGAUAUUUUGCAUUAUGCCUUGCUGAGGUUUCUCAAAGAGAAGAGCAUCUGUCCCCACAUGCCAGACAGGUUCCUGUUCUUACGGAGUGCUCAGCUCCUGGGACAGCUGUCAGACCAGCUGCACCAAUCCAUUUCCAAGACCAGCCUGAUCCACAAACAUGACGGAUGAACUAAAAGAGAGGCAGUGUUUUUUCUAGUAAUUUGAAUUUUGCACACACUAUUGUUCAUGAAGGUUCAAGUGAACUCAAGAGUGAUCACUUAAAUCCCAAAGCGCAGCAGGUGUGGACAUAACCAAUAAUGAGAACUAACUACACUGUGAUACCAAACCCAGCUGGUUUAUAGACCAGAAACAGCCUGGACUGUAACAAAGCACCACUCCUCAAAUGCAGCUUUAUUUCCAUUUACAUACAUUUCUGAGAUGAUAAAUGAGGCCAGAAGAGAAGACAGGAGAACCAUGGAAGUUGUGCUUCACCCUGGAAUGGCAGCUGAAGACCAAGUGAGAUACCCAAGAAAGCUAAAAUGUGUGUGUUUAGGCAAGACAUUGACAUCCUUCAGGUUUCGAUGGAUGAUCAUGGGCUAUUUUUCUGCACUCCUUCACAAUCCAUAUUCCACUGCUGAAGGCAAAAUCCUGUUCCUUUUUUUUUUUUACCUCUACAUCACUUCUCAACAUCUUCCAUUAAAAUAAUUGAGAAAAGAAAUUACAGGGGUGGUAAGAUGCAUUGCCAAAAUUACUCAUCUUUGAGGUCUGCUGUGAAUUAUUUGUUCUUGUAUCUCAUUUGAGCUCUAUGACUCUUUCAGCAGCCAAAUGUGCCCAGCAGUUAAAAAAUCAAUAGACUCCUACUGAGGAGUAAGUGUGUUCCCAUCUCCUGCACUGAUUUGUUCUGUAACCUCUGACAGGACCACUUUACUGUUUGGCUCCCAUUUUGAUUGUGAAACUGUAUGCAAUAACAACCCAGAGAGUGCAGUGGCAAUUCUUGAUGUUGGGGAGCAGAGUCUCCUCUCCUCUGAUCAAUGUCCAGCAGCAGCAGAUUGGAGAUAUUUGCCUCCUUUGAUCAUCCUGCCCUUGCCCACCUUGGCCAAUGCUUUUUCUGGAGAGCACCAUGAGACCCACAGGGCAGCAUAAUGCUACCAAGGAUCAAGCUCUGGUGCAAGUCUUGCUGUGAGACCCCUUUCCCCUGCCAAGCCCCAGUGAAACUGUGAGCUGAACAGGAAUUUGCCAGCACAGAAUUUGAUACAGAGCUAACCAGGACCUGUGUUUACAUUAUCACUCUAACGUAGAGCCAAAUCUGUAAGUUUAUGGGUAACUGCAAGUCUUGCUGGCUUUAUCAUCAGGGUAUUUCUGAGAACUGUGUUAAAAAACAGGAUCAUUUACAUGGAUCCCUAUGCAAGACCAUAAACCAGAUUUCUUCCAGACUUAAUACUGCUUUAUAAUCUCUAACAGUUAGCACCCAUACUGUUUGGGUUGCAAGAGACCUAAUUAGUCACCCUUAUGGCUUCCACCAGCAGUAGGGUAAGAGCAGCAGUUUUAAUUAAAAGUUUAUAUGCAAACAUAUCUCACAAUUUCUGUGUAACAAAUGAUUCUCCUCACCCUGUGGUUUCCCUGCUGCUGGUCAGAACAAAAUUCUUGUCUUUGCAGAAUUGAACCUUUUUGUCAAAACACAGGAAGACUGCAGUGAUUAUCACACCUUUAUCUUGGACUUCUGUAUAAGAGCUUCCAGUUCUGAUUCUUCCCUUUCCAUGCAACCCUCUAAAAUGGACUUUUCUCACUUUAUGGAUACCUAAACCAGGCUGUUGCUACAGUUGCUGAUGUAAAUUCUUUCCAUAAACUGAAAGAAAGGCCUGUGUUGCUCUCAUGGAUACCUUCGACCCAUGUAAGUCAGCUUGCACUGUUUGGUGAUCACUUCGUGUAAAAGCACAGCUGUGUAUUGUUCAGCAGAUUGCAUCAAGCCACAUCAUCUACAUGACACUUUUGAAACCUGCAUUCAAAUAAAUUUGAGAAGCUGACCACCUUGUUUCUUAGGUGACUGCCAAAUUCUGAAAGUGCUGAAAGUGGCGGUCAAUUAUCUGUGCGCCUUCCUUGAAGGGCGAGUUUGGUAUCCUGUGUGUGGGAAGAUGUUCUGUCCAAACAAAUGAGGGACUAUUAAGACCAGUACCACCUGGAGGAAGCCCUAGGGUACUAGAGGUGGUUUGGGCAAAUUGUCUUCAGUCAUUUCUGCCUGAUUUCUUCAUGGAGAAGUUCUUGAGCUAUUGCUGUAUAUCUCCU